rnacentral:rRNA from 1 species
UCGUUUGAUGAAUUCAUAGUCAAACGAGGCAAACCGAGGGAACURAAACAUCUCAGUACCUCGAGRAAAGAAUCAACCGAGAUUCCCACCAGUAGCGGSGAGCRAACAGGGAGCAGCCCAGAGUCAACAUCAAUAUUUACCGCAGGAGAAAAGUCUGGAAAGGCUGGCAAUAAAGGGUGAUAGCCCCGUAUCUGAAGCGGUAAGUGUUGUGAACUCGAAGAGUAAGGCGGGACACGUGUUAUCCUGUCUGAAUAUGGGGGGACCAUCCUCCAAGGCUAAAUACUCCUGACUGACCGAUAGUGAACCAGUACCGUGAGGGAAAGGCGAAAAGAACCCCGACAAGGGGAGUGAAAUAGAACCUGAAACCGUGUACGUACAAGCAGUGGAGCACCCGAAAAGGUGUGACUGCGUACCUUUUGUAUAAUGGGUCAGCGACUUAUAUUCUGUAGCAAGGUUAACCGCCAGGGGAGCCGUAGAGAAACCRAGUCUUAACUGGGCGUUAAGUUGCWGGGUAUAGACCCGAAACCCGGGAAUCUACCCUGGGSMRGGUUGAARKUUGGGUA